rnacentral:rRNA from 1 species
UACGUAGGGUGCAAGCGUUGUCCGGAAUUAUUGGGCGUAAAGAGCUCGUAGGCGGUUUGUUGCGUCGGCUGUGAAAUCCCGAGGCUCAACCUCGGGUCUGCAGUCGAUACGAGCAAACUAGAGUGUUGCAGGGGAGACUGGAAUUCCUGGUGUAGCGGUGAAAUGCGCAGAUAUCAGGAGGAACACCGGUGGCGAAGGCGGGUCUCUGGGCCGAUACUGACGCUGAGGAGCGAAAGCCAGGGGAGCAAACAGG